rnacentral:pre_miRNA from 1 species
UGGACAGAUUAUUGUAUUCGACUGUAUUCACGGCGUAAAAAAGGGGAAUACACUGUUUUUAAACGGAAAGUGAAUCAAUUAACAUAAUAGACUCCU